AAAAAGGAAAGAGUGUGGUUCUAGUGGUCUCAGAUCAUCUCUGAAGCAGGACUGAGGUUGUUCAUUUGCAGAAUUGGUUUAUGGUCAGCCACUCAGAUUACGGGGAGAAUUUUUGAUAUGCACCGAACCAUCAAUUGAAACUGAACCAAUACUAUCAAGUUUAAAAUCAUCUUUUGCUGACAUUAAAUCAGUUCAGUCAACCAUACAUGCCAGCGAAGAACCUUUUAUACACAAGGAAUUGUUCAGCUCAAACUUUGUUUUUGUUAAGAUCACUGGUAUUAAACUUAUCUUAUCUCUUAGGUACGAAGGUCCCAUCAGAUUUAUAAAAAGAUAUUAAAAAUUUGUCGUUAUAAUGAAAUGAAAUAAAGAAUUAAAUGUAAAGCUCGAUUUAAAAGCAUUAUUUGGUUGGAAGACAAAAAUAUGGUUUUAUUCUAAAUAUCUAUUCUAAUAAAAUAUGAACAAUUGGCAUUUAAGGACUUAGAAAAAUUGCUGGAAUCUACAGUAUGUGGAAAAACCAUAUUAAAAAAUCGGGGUGUUGAGAAGUUUUUAAGUGUAAAAAAUAGGCAUGCACUAACUGCUAUAAUAGCCCAAUAUCUAUUAGACCACGAAGUAGAGGAAGGAAAAGGUGUAUAUCAGGAUAUCGCUAAGAAAAUAAAAAAUAUAUUUCCUGGAAAGAAUGAGAUAACAUACAUUGGUGGCAAAACCCAAAGAGGGAAACUAGUUGAAAAAUACUACAGUAUUAUAAAAAAGUAUCAGAUCGCUGGAUUCAUUACAAGCAAAUAUAAUUUAAAACAAAAACGAAUUGCUGAUAAGGAUCAAAACAACAACAAGUGAAGGCUGUAGAUGAAGUGAACGGAGUGAACGCUGAUCAAGAAUGGUUGCGUUAUAGUCAGUCUCCAAUAGAAUCUGUCGUGGAAAAAUGGAAAAGUACCUACCAUAUUAGAAGAAGACAUAUUCUCAAUACUAAAGUGGAUAUAAACACAAACUGACCUAUACUUAAACAAAAUAUUGCACCAAUAUCAUUUAAUAAAUAAUU